rnacentral:miRNA from 1 species
GGAAAAUGAUGAUGAUGAUGAUGAUGAUGAUGAUGAUGGUGAAGAAGAAGAAGAACACCAUCUUUGUAUCAUCAUCAUUCAUCAUCAACAACA